AAACCAACAAGGAUUCCCUCAGUAACGGCGAGCGAACCGGGAACAGCCCAGCGUGUCAAUCUGGCCUUUCGGGGUCCGAGUUGUGGUCUGGAGGGCGGCGCUCCGCGCGGUCCGAUCGCCAAGUCCGCUGGAAAGCGGCGUCGUAGAGGGUGACAACCCCGUGGGCGAUCGGCUUCCGCGCUUCUCGAGCCCGUUCCGCGGAGUCGGGUUGCUUGGGAAUGCAGCUCUAAGCCGGUGGUAAAUCCCAUCGAAGGCUAAAUAUCGGCGGGAGACCGAUAGCGAACAAGUACCGUGAGGGAAAGAUGAAAAGAACUUUGAAAAGAGAGUCAAAAAGUGCCUGAACUCGUUGAGAGGGAAGCGACGUGGAUUCGUCGAUCCUUCGGGGGCCGAUGG
rnacentral:rRNA from 1 species